rnacentral:misc_RNA from 1 species
GCAAACUAUAUAUCAUGUGGUGUAGUUAUUUUUUGAUGCAGGGGGAGGGCACAAAAAGACUAUGGUACAUAUGAAAUAUAGAGAAGGUAUUUUAAGAAACUGCAAUAUGAAUUCGUUUUUGACUUGACUGUGUGUUCUGUUUUGACAAAAUGUGCUGAUCAUAAAAUUGGGUUAUUGGUACAAAAUUACCGCAAUAUCAAAUGGAAUAAAAUUUCUCAUUCUGAUAAUAUAAAUUAUGGUGCUUGUUUGUCUUGUUUUUGUUUAAAAUAUGAGCAACAUUUGUUUCUGUAUUUUUUGUUGUUGGAAAACUGCAAUUUCUUAACAUUACAAAACUAUUGGUAAGCCAGACCUUUGCAUCUGUUACACCUGAAUCUAAUAGCUGAAGUGUAGUAAAUCUUUAAUACAUUGCCUUGAUGUCUGC